UACAGAGGUGCCAAGCGUUAGGCGGAAUCACUGGGCUUAAAGCGUGUGUAGGCGGAAUUGUAAGUACCUUGUGAAAUCCCAUGGCUCAACCAUGGAACUGCUCGGUAUACUGCUUUUCUUGAGCCACUUAGGGGCUACCGGAACAAAUGGUGGAGCGGUGAAAUGCGUAGAUAUCAUUUGGAACGCCAAUGGUGAAAACAGGUAGCUGGGAGUGUGCUGACGCUGAGACACGAAAGCCAGGGGAGCGAACGGG
rnacentral:rRNA from 1 species